CAGCAGCCGCGGGAAUACGUAGGUCCCGAGCGUUGUCCGGAUUUAUUGGGCGUAAAGCGAGCGCAGGCGGUUAGAUAAGUCUGAAGUGAAAUGCCGGGGCUCAACCCCGGAGCUGCUUUGGGAACUGUAGAACUGGAGUGUCGGAGGGGUAAGCGGAAUUCCCAGUGUAGCGGUGAAAUGCGUAGAUAUUGGGAGGAACACCGGCGGCGAAGGCGGCUUACUGGACGACAACUGACGUUGAGGCUCGAAGGCGUGGGUAGCAAACAGGAUUAGAUACCCCCGUAGUCCCUGUCUCUUAUAC
rnacentral:rRNA from 1 species